rnacentral:rRNA from 1 species
UGGGUGAUCUGCCCUGCACUUCGGGAUAAGCCUGGGAAACUGGGUCUAAUACCGGAUAUGACCUUGGGAUGCAUGUCCUUUGGUGGAAAGCUUUUGCGGUGUGGGAUGGGCCCGCGGCCUAUCAGCUUGUUGGUGGGGUAAUGGCCUACCAAGGCAACGACGGGUAGCCGGCCUGAGAGGGCGACCGGCCACACUGGGACUGAGACACGGCCCAGGCUCCGUACGGGAGGCA